AGCAGCCGCGGUAAUUCCAGCUCCAAUAGCGUAUAUUAAAGUUGUUGCAGUUAAAAAGCUCGUAGUUGAAUUUCGGGAUUAAUAUGUUGGUCGUGCCUUGGUACGUACUGGCAUUAUUGAUUCCUACCUUCUGAAGAACCUCGAUGUCAUUAAUUUGGUGUCUUGGGGAAUCAGGACCGUUACUUUGAAAAAUUAGAGUGUUUAAAGCAGGCUCGCGCUUGAAUACAUUAGCAUGGAAUAAUGAAAUAGGACAUUUGAUUCUAUUUUGUUGGUUUCUAGGAUCGACGUAAUGAUUAAUAGGGAUAGUUGGGGGCAUUAGUAUUCAAUUGUCAGAGGUGAAAUUCUUGGAUUUAUUGAAGACUGACUACUGCGAAAGCAUUUGCCAAGGAUGUUUUCAUUAAUCUAAGAACGAAAGUUAGGGGAU
rnacentral:rRNA from 1 species